GAUGAACGCUGGCGGCGUGCCUAAUACAUGCAAGUCGAGCGAACAGACGAGGAGCUUGCUCCUCUGACGUUAGCGGCGGACGGGUGAGUAACACGUGGAUAACCUACCUAUAAGACUGGGAUAACUUCGGGAAACCGGAGCUAAUACCGGAUAAUAUAUUGAACCGCAUGGUUCAAUAGUGAAAGACGGUUUUGCUGUCACUUAUAGAUGGAUCCGCGCCGCAUUAGCUAGUUGGUAAGGUAACGGCUUACCAAGGCAACGAUGCGUAGCCGACCUGAGAGGGUGAUCGGCCAUACUGGAACUGAGACACGGUACAGACUCCGACGGGAGGCAGAAGUAGGGAAUCUUCCGCAAUGGGCGAAAGCCUGACGGAGCAACGCCGCGUGAGUGAUGAAGGUCUUCGGAUCGUAAAACUCUGUUAUUAGGGAAGAACAAAUGUGUAAGUAACUAUGCACGUCUUGACGGUACCUAAUCAGAAAGCCACGGCUAACUCCGUG
rnacentral:rRNA from 1 species